rnacentral:lncRNA from 1 species
CUCUCUCUCUUUCUUUUCUCCUCCUCUCAGGAUAUCAAAGCAGACUGCAAUACUUGUGUGGAAAUAGAGGACAGAAAGAAUUAUCUCUCGCUGGAUUCACCCA